rnacentral:misc_RNA from 1 species
AACGCACCUUGCGCUCCUUGGUAUUCCGAGGAGCAUGCCUGUUUGAGUGUCAUUUAAUUCUCAAUCUCUACAAACUUGUGUUGUUAGCAGAUUGGAGGUGGGGGUUUUGUGGGUGUAUCCAUUAUAUCCACUCCCCUGAAAAUCAUUAGCUGGAAUGCCUUUGCAAAACCAACUAUCAGUAUGAUAAUUAUCUACUCUGAUGUUGUUGUGAAGGGAAUCUGCUUUCAAACCGUCGUUCCGACACUUUGAAUCCAUAUGACCUCAAAUCAGGUAGGACUACCCGCUGAACUUAA